rnacentral:lncRNA from 1 species
ACAAAUAAAGUGGAAUACCUAGCCGGCCGUUUCCUCGGGAAUAUGUAAGCCUUUACACAAUUCAGCACACGGGUUAGAACAUCGAGAUAAAGUACAAUUGAAAAUUGCACCACAAAAUAAACACAACAGUCAUAAGGUCAGGCCAAAUAAUGCAGAAUUAUAAUAAAUCUUGAUUAGAUAAACAUAAGGCAGAACAGAAAAGAAACAAAACAGCCACUGUCCC